AUUGAACGCUGGCGGCAGGCCUAACACAUGCAAGUCGAACGAGUGGCGGACGGGUGAGUAAUGUCUGGGAAACUGCCCGAUGGAGGGGGAUAACUACUGGAAACGGUAGCUAAUACCGCAUACCAUCGGAUGUGCCCAGAUGGGAUUAGCUAGUAGGGGGGGAAACGGCUCACAUAGGAGACGAUCCCUAGCUGGUCUGAGAGGAUGACCAGCCAACCGGGAACUGAGACACGGUCCAGAUUCCUACGGGAGGCAGCAGGGGGGAAUAUUGAACAAUGGGCGAAAGCCUGAUGCAGCCAUGCCGCGUGUAUGAAGAGGGCCUUCGGGUUGUAAAGUACUUUCAGCGAGGAGGCGUGACUCGCAGAAGAAGCACCGGCUAACUCCGUGCCAGCAGCCGCGUUAAAC
rnacentral:rRNA from 1 species